rnacentral:lncRNA from 1 species
CUGCGAUGAUCAAGCCGUAGAUGCCAAGCACUCCCGCCAUGACAACCGGCACAAUCGAUUUCAUCACCAGCUCCGGCCUCAUCACGCCCAUUGAGGCAACACCAACGCCGCUCUUCGCCGUACCGUACGCCGCCCCCAUGCAAGAGAAAACGAGGGCCGCCGCGGCGCCCAGGAAGCCGAAGAAGGGGGCAGUUUCAUCGCCGCUGAAAUCAACCAUUAUUUCUUUCUUUCUCUGGAUUUUGGCUUCGGCCAGACGACAGUGAGAUCUGUUGCUAUUACUGUUAUUAUUGCUUUUUCGCCUUCUCUUCUUCCCUCUCCCUCUCGGAAGUUUCUUGAACGGACCCUCUCUGCCACCUCUGUCAUUAUCACUCAC